GAGGGAGCCGCGAGACGGGUGCGCAUGCGCAGUGCGCGUCUGCGAGACCGACUUGGACGGAGCCGAGCUGAGGCUCGGCUUCCUGCUGGUGGUCAGGGUUUUGGCAACUCCCCGGUGUGAGAGGGGUAGGGAGUGCUCCCGGCGGCGACGGGGCCGAGUUCACCAGCGGCCGGGGCAGUAGUCGAAGGCCCGGCGCGGCAUGUCCUGGGUGCCGCGGUGCGGGCAGUGAACGCGCGGCGGGCGGGAUGGGCCGGCGCCGGGCGCCAGAGCUGUACCGGGCUCCGUUCCCGUUGUACGCGCUUCAGGUCGACCCCAGCACUGGGCUGCUCAUCGCUGCGGGCGGAGGAGGCGCCGCCAAGACAGGCAUAAAGAAUGGCGUGCACUUUCUGCAGCUAGAGCGGAUUAAUGGGCGCUUGAGUGCCUCCUUGCUGCACUCCCAUGACACAGAGACACGGGCCACCAUGAACUUGGCACUGGCUGGUGACAUCCUUGCUGCAGGGCAGGAUGCCCACUGUCAGCUCCUGCGCUUCCAGGCACAUCAACAGCAGGGCAACAAGGCAGAGAAGGCCGGUGAGGAGCUCCCUCUCUACCCCCUUGGGGAAAGGGUUGAACGAGUAAGGUCACUCUUGGUGUCUCUAAAGAAGUGGGUCUGGAAGUAGGGUUUUGGUAGCAAGCUAGAAGUUGUAUGGGCACCUGCCAUGGAGAGAGGGGCCAGUACUCCUUACUGUAGAAGCCUGGAACCUGGCCAAGUGUUUGUGUUACAGGUUCCAAGGAGCAGGGGCCUCGACAAAGGAAGGGAGCAGCCCCAGCAGAGAAGAAAUGUGGAGCGGAAACCCAGCACGAGGGGCUAGAACUCAGGGUAGAGAAUUUGCAGGCGGUGCAGACAGACUUUAGCUCCGAUCCACUGCAGAAAGUUGUGUGCUUCAACCACGAUACUACCCUGCUUGCCACUGGAGGGACAGAUGGCUACGUCCGUGUCUGGAAGGUGCCCAGCCUGGAGAAGGUUCUGGAGUUCAAAGCCCACGAAGGGGAGAUUGAAGACCUGGCUUUAGGGCCUGAUGGCAAGUUGGUAACCGUGGGCCGGGACCUUAAGGCCUCUGUGUGGCAGAAGGAUCAGCUGGUGACACAGCUGCACUGGCAAGAAAAUGGACCCACCUUUUCCAGCACACCUUACCGCUACCAGGCCUGCAGGUGUGAAGACUUUGGGGGGUGGCUGAAAGAGGCAUAGCCCAGCUGUGGUGGGGGAGAGGGAAAAGACUGGGGAUGGGAGAGCUGGGGAGGAA
rnacentral:sRNA from 1 species